UGGGGAAUAUUGCACAAUGGGCGCAAGCCUGAUGCAGCCAUGCCGCGUGUGUGAAGAAGGCCUUCGGGUUGUAAAGCACUUUCAGCGAGGAGGAAGGGUAGUGUGUUAAUAGCACAUUGCAUUGACGUUACUCGCAGAAGAAGCACCGGCUAACUCCGUGCCAGCAGCCGCGGUAAUACGGAGGGUGCAAGCGUUAAUCGGAAUUACUGGGCGUAAAGCGCACGCAGGCGGUUUGUUAAGUCAGAUGUGAAAUCCCCGCGCUUAACGUGGGAACUGCAUUUGAAACUGACAAGCUAGAGUCUUGUAGAGGGGGGUAGAAUUCCAGGUGUAGCGGUGAAAUGCGUAGAGAUCUGGAGGAAUACCGGUGGCGAAGGCGGCCCCCUGGACAAAGACUGACGCUCAGGUGCGAAAGCGUGGGGAGCAAACA
rnacentral:rRNA from 1 species